rnacentral:lncRNA from 1 species
AUUUGGGUUUAUUUGGAUUUUCUUUUUCCAGUAUCUUGAUGUGGAACUUUAUGAAAUUGGAUUGAGAUAUUUCUUCCUUUCUAAGGAAGAAAUAAGAUUUAUUAUCAUAAAUGUUAUUCUAAGCUCUGCUUAGAAUGUGAAAUGUUGAUAUGUUUUAUUUUCAUUUUAAUUCAUUUCAAAUGCAAGCUCAAAAUUCAGUUCAAAUGUAAGUUCAAAAAUCCCAAUUUAUCUUCUGAUUUCUUCUUUGACCCAUGGGUUAUUCAGAAGCAUGAUAUUUAGUUUCCAAAUAUUUGGGGUUUUCUAGAUAUUUUUCUGUAAAUCAUUUCUAAUUUAAUUCCAUUAUAAUCAGAUACUCUACUUUGUGGGACUUGUAUCUUUUUUAAUUUAUCAAAACUUCUGGUCCAGGAUAUGGUUUAUCCAGAAAAUAAUGUAUAUUUUCUUAUUGCAAAAGUUCAGAAGACGCCAUCUCCAAAUAUGCCACUCUGAAAUAUGGAUUAUUUUGAGCCAAAGUCACUUGAGAAACAGCAGAUGACAAGGGCUCUCUGACAUUCUCCUUUUUACAUAAAAGCAGGUCAUAACAUUUCCCAUGAGAAUGGAGCCUCUCUGUACAAUGAAGAGAAGAGUAUUUUUUUUUCCUUAAGGCUUCAUUUCUUUAUUCAUGAGAGACAGAGUGAGGCAGAGGCAGACAGAAAAGCAGGCUCCCUCAGGUCCUGGGAUUACGACCUGAACUGAAAGCAGAUGCUGAACCGACUGAGCCACCCAGGCACCCCAGAAGAGAAUUCUUAUCACUAGAGACCUGUACAAGUAAGUUUACUAAAAUAACCCUUAGCUUCUGCCAGUUUUCCAUCUAUUUCCUGGUCACUUGCCUACAAAUUUUGCCCCUGGCCCAAGCCCCUUGCCAAUUUAUCACUCUUUGUGUAGAAAGGUAUAUAAGCUUUGAGGCCUAACAGCUUCUUCACAUCUUUAUUUUCCAUCAAAGACUCCUAUCUACAUGAAAACACAGUAACCAAAUCUGUGUACUUUUUUUCCUGUUAAUCUUUCUUAUGUUGGUUUAAUUCUUAGGCCAGCCACAGAAUCUAAGAGGGUAGGAGAAAGUUUUUUCUUCUCUACCUGUUGUUGGGUAGAGUAUUCUAUAAAUAUCAGUUAAAUCAAGUUGAUUGAUAGCGUUUUUUAACUCCUUAUACAUUCUUACUGACUUUCUGUCUACUCAUCUAUCAGUUAUUGAGAGGAUUGUUGAAAUAUCCAACUAUAAUUGUGGUUAUAGCUAUUUCUGCCUGCAUUGCUAUUAGUUUUUGCUUCAUAAAUUUCAAAGCUCUCUUUUCUAGUGCAUGGUGUUUGGGAUUGUUGUGUCCUUAUUCAUUGAGCUCUUAAUCAUUAUGAAAUGACCUUUUUAUCUUUGGUAAUAUUCUUUGCUCUGAGAUCUACGUAUUUGCUAUCAAUAUAGUUAUUCUGUUUUUCUUUUAAUUGGAGUUGGCAUGGACUGUUUCUUUCCCUCUUUUUACUUUUAACCUAUUUGUGUCUUUAUAUUUAAAGUUGGUCUCUUGAAAACACCAUGUAGGUAGGUCAUGAUUUUUUGUGCAAUCUGACCAUCUUACCUUUUAACUAAAAAGGUGUUUGUACAUGACUUUUACUUAAAUCGGUGUUUAUACUGUUUAUGUUUACUAUUAUUAAUGAUAUGAUAGAAUUUAAUUCAUUUUGCUGCUUGUUUUCUAUUUAUCUCACAUGUUCUUUAUUCUGUUUUCCUCAUCCCUGGGGCAAAACUCUUCUUAUCAUUCUAUCCAAUGCAUUUUGGGAACAGAAAUCAUUCCUGGUCCUGCCUGAACUGAAGUUUGUUCUCGCUAAAUUUUCAGAGCAUUCUUUCCUAAUGUAAGGUGGUUCCUCAUAUGCACACAUUGAUCAGAACUCAGGUGAAGACUGAGUACCCUCUGCCAAUCUCUAGCAUUCUCUAUCCAUUCAGCUCUCUUCUCUCCAUUACU